rnacentral:rRNA from 1 species
CCUUCCGUAGGGGAACCUGCGGAGGGAUCAUUACAGAGUUAUCCAACUCCCAAACCCAUGUGAACUUAUCUCUUUGUUGCCUCGGCGCAAGCUACCCGGGACCUCGCGCCCCGGGCGGCCCGCCGGCGGACAAACCAAAACUCUUGUUAUCUUAGUUGAUUAUCUGAGUGUCUUAUUUAAUAAGUCAAAACUUUCAACAACGGAUCUCUUGGUUCUGGCAUCGAUGAAGAACGCAGCGAAAUGCGAUAAGUAAUGUGAAUUGCAGAAUUCAGUGAAUCAUCGAAUCUUUGAACGCACAUUGCGCCCAUUAGUAUUCUAGUGGGCAUGCCUGUUCGAGCGUCAUUUCAACCCCUAAGCACAGCUUAUUGUUGGGAACCUACGGCUUCGUAGUUCCUCAAAGACAUUGGCGGAGUGGCAGUGGUCCUCUGAGCGUAGUAAUCUUUUAUCUCGCUUCUGUUAGGUGCUGCCCCCCCGGCCGUAAAACCCCCAAUUUUUUCUGGUUGACCUCGGAUCAGGUAGGAAUACCCGCUGAACUUAAGCAUAUCAA